UAUGUUGUGGCUCAGUGGUAGAGUGCUUGCCUAGCAUGUGUGAGACACUGGGUUCAAUCCUCAGCAUCACAU
rnacentral:tRNA from 2 species